rnacentral:hammerhead_ribozyme from 1 species
AUCCAGGUGACGAGUCCGAAAUAGGAUGAAACGUGGUUCCUGGAU